rnacentral:rRNA from 1 species
CCUACGGGUGGCAGCAGUGGGGAAUAUUGCACAAUGGGGGCAACCCUGAUGCAGCAACGCCGCGUGAAUGAAGAAGUAUUUCGGGAUGUAAAGCUCUAUCAGCAGGGAAGAAGAUGACGGUGCCUGCAUAAGAAGCCCCGGCUAACUACGUGCCAGCAGCCGCGGUAAUACGUAGGGGGCAAGCGUUAUCCGGAGUUACUGGGUGUAAAGGGCGCGUAGACGGUGAUGCAAGUCUGGAGUGAAAGGCGGGGGCUCAACCCCCGGACUGCUCUGGAAACUGUGUAACUUGAGUGCAGGAGAGGUAAGCGGAAUUCCGAGUGUAGCGGUGAAAUGCGUAGAUAUUAGGAGGAACACCAGUGGCGAAGGCGGCCUACUGGACUGUAACUGACGUUGAGGCGCGAAAGCGUGGGGAGCAAACAGGAUUAGAUACCCGUGUAGUC